rnacentral:rRNA from 1 species
UACGUAGGGGGCAAGCGUUGUACGGAAUUAUUGGGCGUAAAGCGCGCGUAGGCGGUCCUUUAAGUCUGAUGUGAAAGCCCACGGCUUAACCGUGGAGGGUCAUUGGAAACUGGAGGACUUGAGUGCAGAAGAGGAGAGUGGAAUUCCACGUGUAGCGGUGAAAUGCGUAGAGAUGUGGAGGAACACCAGUGGCGAAGGCGACUCUCUGGUCUGUAACUGACGCUGAGGUGCGAAAGCGUGGGUAGCGAACAGG